rnacentral:rRNA from 1 species
AUGCCGCCUGCAGUCCCCUCAGAGUCACGUCUCUCCGGACAAGCGCCACCAGCCCCUCAAGAAGCUGAGCAACGCCGAACUCCCAGCGUCUGCUCCCGCAUUGCCCGCCACGCUACUCACAAUCUAUCUCCCGAGGACGACGCGUCCACCACCUUCUCGGACGGCGGCAGCAGUAGCUCUGUCGGUGCCAGUGCCUCCUCCCGUUGGGACUUGGAGCAGCGGGCACGUAUGGACGACUGCGGCCUGCUGCAGCGCUGUGGCAAGCUCCUGAGCAGCAUCGAGGCAUUCACAAGCGCCGGCGACGCGGCCGCCGACCAGUAG